rnacentral:rRNA from 1 species
UCCUACGGGAGGCAGCAGUAGGGAAUCUUGGACAAUGGGGGAAACCCUGAUCCAGCAAUGCAGCGUGAGUGACGAAGGCCCUAGGGUCGUAAAACUCUUUCAUCGGUGAGGAUAAUGACAGUAGCCGAAGAAGAAGGACCGGCUAAUUCCGUGCCAGCAGCCGCGGUAAUACGGAAGGUCCUAGCGUCGUUCGGAAUUACUGGGCGUAAAGCGCAUGUAGGCGGAACAAAAAGUUAGAAGUGAAAUCCCUGGGCUCAACCUAGGAAUUGCUUUUAAAACUUUUGUUCUGGAAUUCAGGAGAGGAAAAUGGAAUUUCCAGUGUAGAGGUGAAAUUCGUAGAUAUUGGAAGGAACACCAGUGGCGAAGGCGAUUUUCUGGACUGAUAUUGACGCUGAGAUGCGAAGGCAUGGGUAGCAAACGGGAUUAGAUACCCCGGUAGUCCAUGCAGUAAACGAUGGGUGCUAGUCGUCGGACUUUUGUUCGGUGUCGUAGCUAACGCGUUAA